rnacentral:sRNA from 1 species
UUUUACUUACUCCGUGAAUCGG